GGGGGUGAUCCGGUUUCGACAGGGAUGAAGGGGAUUGCCGAUGCAUGCCGGGGAGAUUACCUACCCGUUAUCAAUGGUGAUAAUAAAUCUAAACGCAAACGAUAACUUUGCAUUAGCAGCAUAGUUCUGCUACGGUCCUGCUAAACUCUGCUGAGAGGUUAGCAGAUCACCGCCAUAAAUAUCAGCUAUAAAUUGCAGAUCGCCUGGGCUGCAGUUCGAAAACUACAGGCUGGUCAUCCGAUGCGGUUUGAUUGUUUUCCUAUCGUUUGACAAGAUCAAAAACAACUAAGCAUGUAGAUUUGGCUUUUGCCUUAUUUCUGGACGCGGGUUCGAUUCCCGCCACCUCCACCA
rnacentral:tmRNA from 1 species